rnacentral:rRNA from 1 species
UACGGGGGGGGCAAGCGUUGUUCGGAAUUACUGGGCGUAAAGGGCUCGUAGGCGGCCAACUAAGUCAGACGUGAAAUCCCCAGGCUCAACCUGGGAACUGCGUCUGAUACUGGAUGGCUUGAAUUCGGGAGAGGGAUGCAGAAUUCCAGGUGUAGCGGUGAAAUGCGUAGAUAUCUGGAGGAACACCGAUGGCGAAGGCAGAUCUCUGGGCCGUAACUGACGCUGAGGAGCGAAAGCAUGGGGAGCGAACAGG